rnacentral:rRNA from 1 species
AUUAAAUUAAGGGCGUAUGGAGGAUGCCUUGGCACAUAAAGGCGAUGAAGGUCGUGGCGUGCCUGCGAUAAGCUUCGGGGAGCCGGCUAGCGGGCUUUGAUCCGGAGAUUGCCGAAUGGGGAAACCCAAUCAAGUAAACCUUGAUUACUCGGUCGUGUAACAACGAUCGGGAGUAUACCUGGCGAAGUGAAACAUCUCAGUAGCCAGAGGAAAAGAAACCGAAAGGAUUCCGUGUGUAGCGGCGAGCGAAAGCGGAAUAGCCUAAACUUGCGUUUCACGAAAGUGGAGCAUGAGGGUUAUAAGGGCAGAACACUGAAAACUUGAGGAAACGAAUUCGUUCCUGAAGUUUUCUAAAGAGUUACAAAUUGGAUUGUUAGCAGAACGGCCCUGGAACGGCCGACCAAAGGAGGUGAUAGUCCUGUAUGCGAAAACAAAUCCAACUCUUGUUUUGUUUCUUGAGUAGCUCGGGAUAAGAAUGUCCUGAGUGAAUUUGCCCAUACUACUGGGUAAGGCUAAAUAC